rnacentral:rRNA from 1 species
UACGUAGGUGGCAAGCGUUGUCCGGAAUUAUUGGGCGUAAAGCGCGCGCAGGCGGCUUCUUAAGUCCAUCUUAAAAGUGCGGGGCUUAACCCCGUGAUGGGAUGGAAACUGGGAGGCUGGAGUAUCGGAGAGGAAAGUGGAAUUCCUAGUGUAGCGGUGAAAUGCGUAGAGAUUAGGAAGAACACCGGUGGCGAAGGCGACUUUCUGGACGACAACUGACGCUGAGGCGCGAAAGCGUGGGGAGCAAACAG